rnacentral:lncRNA from 1 species
AGGUCAAAUGGGAGGCCACUGCGGGGGCUGACAGCCAGCAUUCAUGUCAAGAUUGCUCUCUGUCUUCCAUGGGAAAAGGAAAGGGGAGAGACAGCAGAGAGAUCCCAUUUUGUCCACUUCACAGGUGGACCCAGCUGACAUCCACAGACACAUGGGGAGGAAAAGCAAGAUUUCUGCCUUUCUUUCAACAACAAAAGGGAAUCCUAAGCCUCCGUCCAGCCUAGCUGUGGUGAUGCCAAUCUUGGCUGUGAAGGAUCUGGGGAGCAGGACGUGUAUGCAGAGAUAUGAGCCAUAUGCAUAAGGAUGAGGAGGGCCUUGGAUGGAAAUCAAGUAACCAACGCCUCAGGGGCAUGCGCAGGAAAAGGACCUGAAGAAUAGAUUCUCAGAAAGCAGAGGAAUUGACCGCAUAAUUUGUUGUUCCCAUUUGACUUGCAAAAUUCAGACACAUCACGGUGCUUACCAGUAGACUCCAUGAAUGUAACCAAGUAGUGACCUCGGUCGCAGCUGCUGUACCUGAGAAGGUGUCUGCUAGGAGAGAGAGAGAGACCUUGCUGCUGGCACAUACCAGCCACUCUUUCCCAUCCCCGUAAGAAAUAGGAUGAGGGGCAGUUCAAAUUCAUGUGUGGGAGACAGGUGGACAGCCGUGUGCGUUCACAGUCACCC